rnacentral:rRNA from 1 species
AAGAGACAGCAGUAGCCACGGGAAUACGUAGGUGGCAAGCGUUGUCCGGAAUUAUUGGGCGUAAAGGGCUCGCAGGCGGUUUCUUAAGUCUGAUGUGAAAGCCCCCGGCUCAACCGGGGAGGGUCAUUGGAAACUGGGAAACUUGAGUGCAGAAGAGGAGAGUGGAAUUCCACGUGUAGCGGUGAAAUGCGUAGAGAUGUGGAGGAACACCAGUGGCGAAGGCGACUCUCUGGUCUGUAACUGACGCUGAGGAGCGAAAGCGUGGGGAGCGAACAGGAUUAGAUACCCGCGUAGUCCCUGUCUCUUAUAC